ACCCAUAAUAUAUUUGAUAAGGCAUCUUAUUAAUAUUUAAAGCUUCGGCACUUUGAUGAUGGGUGUGCGGCUGAUUAGAUAGUUGGCGGGGUAACGGCCCACCAAGUCUACGAUCAGUAGCUGAUGUGAGAGCAUGAUCAGCCACACGGGCACUGAGACACGGGCCCGACUCCUACGGGAGGCAGCAGUAAGGAAUAUUGGACAAUGGACGAAAGUCUGAUCCAGCCAUGCCGCGUGAAGGAUUAAGGUCCUCUGGAUUGUAAACUUCUUUUAUAUGGGACGAAAAAAGGGCAUUCUUGUUCACUUGACGGUACCAUAUGAAUAAGCACCGGCUAACUCCGUG
rnacentral:rRNA from 1 species